rnacentral:rRNA from 1 species
CCUACGGGAGGCAGCAGUAGGGAAUUUUUCACAAUGGGCGAAAGCCUGAUGGAGCAACGCCGCGUGCAGGAUGAAGGCCUUCGGGUUGUAAACUGCUUUUAUAAGCGAGAAAUAUGAUGGUAACUUAUGAAUAAGGAUCGGCUAACUACGUGCCAGCAGCCGCGGUCAUACGUAGGAUCCGAGCAUUAUCCGGAGUGACUGGGUGUAAAGAGUUGCGUAGGUGGCAUAAUAAGUAGCUAGUGAAAUCUGGUGGCUCAACCAUUCAGACUAUUAGCUAAACUGUUAAGCUCGAGACCGUUAGGGGUAACUGGAAUUUCUAGUGUAGGAGUGAAAUCCGUAGAUAUUAGAAGGAACACCAAUAGCGUAGGCAGGUUGCUGGGACGGUUCUGACACUAAGGCACGAAAGCGUAGGGAGCAAACAGGAUUAGAUACCCGAGUAGUC